rnacentral:rRNA from 1 species
UGGGGGAAACCCUGAUGCAGCGACGCCGCGUGAGCGAUGAAGCCCUUCGGGGUGUAAAGCUCUUUCGGCAGGGAAGAUUAUGACGGUACCUGCAGAAGCAGCUGCGGCUAACUACGUGCCAGCAGCCGCGGUAAUACGUAGGCAGCAAGCGUUGUUCGGAGUUACUGGGCGUAAAGGGUGCGUAGGCUGUUCCGUAAGUAUGGUGUGAAAUCUCCCGGCUUAACUGGGAGGGUGCGCUAUAAACUGCGGGACUAGAGUGUGGGAGAGGAAAGUGGAAUUCCUGGUGUAGCGGUGAAAUGCGUAGAUAUCAGGAGGAACACCGGUGGUGUAAACGGCUUUCUGGACCAUAACUGACGCUGAGGCACGAAAGCGUGGGUAGCAAACAGGAUUAGAUACCCUGGUAGUCCACGCCCUAAACGAUGCAUAUUUGGUGUGGGUCAUUCAGUUGAUCCGUGCCGGAGCUAACGCGUUAAAUAUGCCGCCUGGGGAGUAC